ACGCCGGUAGCUCAGUUGAUAGAGCAGUGGCACGGUACUUCACGAUCCCGGGUUCAAGCCCCGGCCGACAAU